ACCUGCAUCAGAUGAUGAGAACAACCCUCCUAAAAAGGGAAAGGGUAGGGGAAGAGGCAGGGGAAAGUGAUCCCGGGUGCUGCUCAAAUGGCCUUUUGCAUUUCUGAUUGGCCAAAGGUUCUGUCAAUCAACUGUUGGGUUUCUUUCUACCUGUUCAUUCUUACAUGGAUCAAACUAUUUAAACUAAGGCUGUUUAUCCUGUUGUCAGUGAUUUGUAAAUAAAUAACUUGAAAUAAA